AAUUAAGAAGCAAUAUUUUGUAUUCAAUUUCGGGUUGAAAGUAAGGUUUUAAAUAAUCCUUA
rnacentral:tRNA from 1 species